rnacentral:rRNA from 1 species
GGACAAUACCCCAUAGGCGACAGACUCUGGAAUGACUGUCUCUCAAAGCUUCUGCCUGUUCCGGCAGAAAUCGCCUAAGGAUGGGUCUGCGGCGGAUUAGGCUGAUGUUAGGGUAACUGCCUAACAUACCUACAAUCUGUAUCAGCUAUGAGAGUAGGAGCUGGGAGAUGGAUACUGAGACAAAGAUCCAGGCUCUACGGAGCGCAGCAGGCGCGCAAACUCUGCAAUGCGCGUAAGCGUGACAGGGGGACUCCAAGUGGGCCUGUAAAACAGGUCCUUUUGCGGCAUGUAAAAAGUUCCGAGAAUAAGGGGUGGGCAAGACUAGUGCCAGCCUCCGCGGUAAAACUAGCAACCCAAGUGGUGGUCACGUUUAUUUGGCUUAAAGCGUCCGUAGUCAGGCCAGUAAGUUUUCUGUGAAAUCCUAACGCUUAACGCUAGGGCUUGCAGAGAAUACUGUUGGUCUUGGAGCCGGGAGAGGUUGGGGGAAUUCACAGGGUAGCGGCGAAAUGCUAUAAUCCUGUGAGGACCACCGACAGCGAAGGCACCCAACUAGAACGGGCUCGACGAUGAGGGACGAGAGCUAGGGGAGCAAACCGGAUUAGAUACCCGGGUAGUCCUAGCCGUAAACGAUGCAGGCUGAGUGUUUCCUGAACCUCGAGUUCAGGAAGUGCUGAAGGGAAACCGUUAAGCCUGCCGCCUGGGGAGUACGGUCGCAAGGCUGAAAC